rnacentral:rRNA from 1 species
UUAGCAUAUCAAUAAGCGGAGGAAAAGAAACCAACCGGGAUUGCCUCAGUAACGGCGAGUGAAGCGGCAAGAGCUCAAAUUUGAAAGCUGGCUCCUUCGGGGUCCGCAUUGUAAUUUGCAGAGGAUGCUUCGGGUGCGGCCCCUGUCUAAGUGCCCUGGAACGGGCCGUCAGAGAGGGUGAGAAUCCCGUCUGGGAUGGGGUGUCCGCGCCCGUGUGAAGCUCCUUCGACGAGUCGAGUUGUUUGGGAAUGCAGCUCUAAAUGGGUGGUAAAUUUCAUCUAAAGCUAAAUACUGGCCGGAGACCGAUAGCGCACAAGUAGAGUGAUCGAAAGAUGAAAAGCACUUUGAAAAGAGAGUUAAAAAGCACGUGAAAUUGUUGAAAGGGAAGCGCUUGCGACCAGACUCGCCUCCAGGGUUCAGCCGGCAUUCGUGCCGGUGUACUUCCCUGGGGGCGGGCCAGCGUCGGUUUGGGCGGCCGGUCAAAGGCUCCCGGAAUGUAGUGCCCUCCGGGGCACCUUAUAGCCGGGAGUGCAAUGCGGCCAGCCUGGACCGAGGAACGCGCUUCGGCACGGACGCUGGCAUAAUGGUCGUAAACGACCCGUCUUGAAACACGGACCAAGGAGUCUAACAUCUACGCGAGUGUUCGGGUGUCAAACCCGUACGCGCAGUGAAAGCGAACGGAGGUGGGAGCCCCCUCGUGGGGCGCACCAUCGACCGAUCCUGAUGUCUUCGGAUGGAUUUGAGUAAGAGCGUAAAUGUGGGGACCCGAAAGAUGGUGAACUAUGCCUGAAUAGGGCGAAGCCAGAGGAAACUCUGGUGGAGGCUCGCAGCGGUUCUGACGUGCAAAUCGAUCGUCAAAUUUGGGUAUAGGGGCGAAAGACUAAUCGAACCAUCUAGUAGCUGGUUCUGCA